CACCGCGGGAAAGGGCCCGGGCAGCGGCGGGCGGAAGUGACGCGUUAUGCGCGCGCCGGCGGAGGGCGCGGGGGCGGGCUGCAGCAGGUGGGGGUCAGCGCCGCCGCCGGGUCUGUGCAGCGCCUGCGGGGAGCUGGAGCGGCAGGUUUUGGAUUGUAUUUUAGACUUACUACACGGACUUUUCUGGAGCUGAUGUUUUCAUAACAUUUCAAGAGUGGCUGAGAAACUAGUUGCUGGAAUGCUUUAGGGGGAAAAAACCCGUGAGGGUGUGGAAUUAUUUUUUAUUGAAUUGGUGGAAUUAUUUCUAUCCCAACCAAAGAAGUAACUGGAAUCAUGGAUCAGAACAACAGCUUACCGCCCUACGCCCAGGGGUUAGCAUCCCCUCAGGGUGCCAUGACUCCUGGAAUUCCAAUUUUUAGCCCAAUGAUGCCCUAUGGCACUGGACUGACACCACAGCCAGUCCAAAGCAGCAACAGUCUGUCUAUUCUGGAGGAACAGCAGAGGCAGCAGCAGCAAGCAGCACAACAGUCCACAUCACAGCAAGCCACGCAGGGAACAUCCAGUCAAACGCCACAGCUCUUCCAUUCACAGACGCUUACGACAGCUCCUUUACCAGGAACCACGCCGCUCUAUUCCUCUCCCAUGACUCCUAUGACCCCAAUAACGCCUGCAACACCUGCAUCUGAGAGCUCUGGGAUUGUGCCACAGCUGCAGAAUAUUGUAUCCACUGUGAAUCUUGGUUGCAAACUUGACCUAAAAACCAUUGCGCUUCGAGCCCGAAAUGCCGAAUACAAUCCCAAGCGUUUUGCUGCUGUCAUCAUGAGAAUAAGAGAACCACGAACUACUGCACUUAUAUUCAGCUCCGGAAAAAUGGUGUGCACAGGGGCGAAAAGCGAGGAGCAGUCCAGAUUGGCAGCAAGGAAAUAUGCCAGAGUUGUUCAAAAAUUGGGCUUUCCAGCAAAAUUCUUGGAUUUUAAGAUUCAGAACAUGGUGGGAAGCUGUGAUGUGAAAUUUCCUAUCAGAUUAGAGGGAUUGGUACUUACACAUCAACAGUUUAGCAGUUAUGAGCCAGAGUUGUUUCCUGGCUUAAUCUACCGAAUGAUAAAGCCAAGAAUUGUCCUGCUUAUUUUUGUUUCUGGAAAGGUGGUUUUAACUGGUGCUAAAGUCAGAGCAGAAAUUUAUGAAGCAUUUGAAAAUAUAUAUCCAAUUUUAAAGGGAUUCAGAAAGACAACGUAACAGUUUUUACAUACUUUCAAAGAAAUUUUUGGGGUACAUUUUUAAAAGGUAUGGAGUAUGGCACAGUAGUAACAAGAGAUGGACUUUCAGUUACAAACUGCAACACCAAGACUCAGAGUGUUUUCCAGUUAGUGCCUACUUCCCUGAUACUCAUGGGAAACUAUUAUUUUUAUGGAUUAUGUCUACUGAGUUACGGUGAAUUGCUUUAUUGAGCUGUUCUUGGAGCACCUCUUCAAGUUUUAUUUAUAUUUUAGCUUUUGAUUGAUUUUAAUGUCAAUGCUUUUAGGCACCCACAAAUAUUGGUAAGUUGGUUUGAGACAAAUGCAACCAUGCCACCCCAAAUGUGUAAACCACUUCAAUUGCUGUAAGUUUUAUCUUUUUCAUAAAUGUUUUUAUAAUCUUACUUCAAAAGUUACUUUUAAAAGUUCUUUGUUCUCCAUUUGUAGAUUUUUUUUUUUUUUGUGCCAGACAUUCCCUCUUUUCAGGGUUCAGCAGGACAGAAUAAAUUUAUUAAUGAAAAUGGCUAGCUGUAUAUAUUUUUUGGGGAGGGGGGGAGAAACAAAUGUCAUGUUUUUUCAGCUCUAUAUGUACAUUAAUACUGUUUAUAAAACUCUAUGGGAAGACCCUUAAUGACUUUUAAAAAGUAACCCUGCUUGACCUUUGCUGCUGUUAAUGUGGUAAGUGCAUGCUGUAGAAAUAUGUAAUGUACUGAAUACUUGAGUCUCUUUUAUAUGACUUUCUUAAUAACAUGCCAGUAUUAAAGCAGUGCAUUUGCCAUGUGAUUUUUGACCUUAUUUUCUCAAAAUAGUGAUCCUCCCAAUCUGGUUUGGUUAUAAGCAGUUGGAUAUUUUAGACACCAGUAUUAACAUUCUGAUUUCACUGGGGUUCUUGAAUAUCUUUACUUUUACAGUCUCUUCUCUUCUGCUUGGUGUUAUUAAAGACUUUUAGUAUGAAGUUCUGUUUCAUCCGAAUGACAGGUAAUGAUUUGUGCAGAUCAAAUAUAUAGCUAAUGUUUAGCUGAAAAUGUGAACUGAAAUCUUUAAGUGGUGGUGGUGGUAAAGAUAUUCUGCUAAAUUCAGGCCUAAAAUCUUGUGUAAUGUCACAACAGAGUUUUUGUUAUGAUUGCAGCCGUGCUAUUCAUAAACUGACAUUUCUCUAAGUACUUUGUGUUCCAGUGCAGUCUCAAAGCCCUCAGUUAAAGUACUAAUGUCCCAAAUUUCAGUAUAUAAAUAAUGAACUUUCCCUUUGCACUGCACUUGGCGUUCAACAAGCUGAGGGCUGAAGUUAAGAAGAUCCCAGCCUGAGAUGGCUUAGUGCAAUUCUGGUGGUGAUAACCCUUCCAGUGAACUGUAGAGUCAAGCUUUCUGGGUACUUUCAAAGAUACAAAUACACAGGACACAAGAAUGAGGCCUAGCUGAAUUCAAAUGUUUGCUCAGCUUAAUUGAGGGCCAACUUCUUUUAAACUAGGUAACUCUGAAAUUGCUGUUCCCAUAUAGGACCAGACAAAAGGGAAAAAUUGUGAAGCUGCAAUGUCGUCUCCCAGAAUAUUGCAGUUUCAAAAACAAUUGUGUGGGAAAUCCAAACUUACGGUUGGCCAUGUCUCUUUCACUCCUUCCCCCUUCAAGUUUUGUAUACUAUCUUUUAUAAGAUUUAAGUAAUUUUAACUUUCAGAUAUAUUUUGAGAAUAGUGGACAACCAACAGGUGACAUGCACUAUUUUAAGAUGAGUUUCAGUAGCGCGAUGGACUUGUAAUUCCUAACUGCUACAUCUCCUUCAGUGGAUGCUGAAGACAGAACUUGAGCUGCAUCCUUUGGGAACUACAAGCCUGAGAAUAGCAGACAAAGCCACAACAGGUCAAGAACAUGGCUCUGGCUGUUUUGUUUUGGAGUGGGAGAAGAGAUAUGGUGAGUGAUGCACUGUUUGAAAUGCUACCUCUAGUAGAAGUAUAAAUCAAUUUUAAAUAAAAAUGUCUUUGUUUGCUAA